rnacentral:rRNA from 1 species
CCUACGGGACGCAGCAGUGGGGAAUAUUGGACAAUGGGCGAAAGCCUGAUCCAGCCAUGCCGCGUGUGUGAAGAAGGCCUUCGGGUUGUAAAGCACUUUCAGUGGGGAAGAAAGCCUUGGGGCUAAUACCCUCGAGGAAGGACAUCACCCACAGAAGAAGCACCGGCUAACUCCGUGCCAGCAGCCGCGGUAAUACGGAGGGUGCGAGCGUUAAUCGGAAUUACUGGGCGUAAAGCGCGCGUAGGCGGUCUGAUAAGCCGGUUGUGAAAGCCCCGGGCUCAACCUGGGAACGGCAUCCGGAACUGUCAGGCUAGAGUGCAGGAGAGGAAGGUAGAGUUCCCGGUGUAGCGGUGAAAUGCGUAGAGAUCGGGAGGAAUACCAGGGGCGAAGGCGGCCUUCUGGACUGACACUGACGCUGAGGUGCGAAAGCGUGGGUAGCAAACAGGAUUAGAUACCCGAGUAGUC